GGGCGCCCGACAGGGACCUCACAAGCCCCCAAGCAGGGGCAACAGGUGUUUUGGAGAUUAGAGACCCUAGCCUUGUUCCUCAGGCUCCUCUUAAAGAAUCUGACCCCUGAGGGUGCUGGGUAGAGUGAGGUCGACAGGAGCGGAAGGUCUGGAGUGGGUGGGGCGGAGUGGGAGGGACGCCUAGAGAUGGCAGGAGGAAGACCUGGGCGCUCUUAACCACCCCCAACGCCCUUGUCUGCAUGUCUUUUUCUCUGUCUCCUCCUUUUCUGUUUCUUCUCCCAGACAGGUGAAGAAACAAGAAAACUAAGAAAUCCGAGCGGUUGGAGGGGGAGUCUGUGUGGAUGGGAUGGGGACGCCGGGGGAGGGGCUGGGCCGCUGCUCCCAUGCCCUGAUCCGGGGAGUCCCAGAGAGCCUGGCGUCGGGGGAAGGUGCGGGGGCUGGCCUUCCCGCUCUGGAUCUGGCCAAAGCUCAAAGGGAGCACGGGGUGCUGGGAGGUAAACUGAGGCAACGACUGGGGCUACAGCUGCUAGAACUGCCACCUGAGGAGUCAUUGCCGCUGGGACCGCUGCUUGGCGACACGGCCGUGAUCCAAGGGGACACGGCCCUAAUCACGCGGCCCUGGAGCCCCGCUCGUAGGCCAGAGGUCGAUGGAGUCCGCAAAGCCCUGCAAGACCUGGGGCUCCGAAUUGUGGAAAUAGGAGACGAGAACGCGACGCUGGAUGGCACUGACGUUCUCUUCACCGGUGAGGCUGGGGGGAGGCAUAGGUCUUGGCACAGGGAAGUAGAGUUUGGGAGACUCGGCCGUCUGGAGCCUUGUUUCUAACUCACUCCCGCCCUCAAACCUCCGCGGCCUCCCGGACUCAGGCCGGGAGUUUUUCGUAGGCCUCUCCAAAUGGACCAAUCACCGAGGAGCUGAGAUCGUGGCGGACACGUUCCGGGUGCGGAGCGGGACCAGCCUAGGGAGGGAGGGGGUGCAGGUGGGGGUCGGAAGGGCCUGGGCGCCCGCUGAGGAAAUGAGAGGCAGAGAGCAGCCUAUGUUUGAAGAUACCCCAUCACCCCUCCCGCGCCCCUGAAUACCUCCCUUCGCUCUCCCUAGGACUUCGCCGUCUCCACUGUGCCAGUCUCGGGUCCCUCCCACCUGCGCGGUCUCUGCGGCAUGGGGGGACCUCGCACUGUUGUGGCAGGCAGCAGCGACGCUGCCCAAAAGGCUGUCCGGGCAAUGGCAGUGCUGACAGAUCACCCAUAUGCCUCCCUGACCCUCCCAGAUGACGCAGCUGCUGACUGUCUCUUUCUUCGUCCUGGGUUGCCUGGUGUGCCCCCUUUCCUCCUGCACCGUGGAGGUGGGGAUCUGCCCAACAGCCAGGAGGCACUGCAGAAGCUCUCUGAUGUCACCCUGGUACCUGUGUCCUGCUCAGAACUGGAGAAGGCUGGCGCCGGGCUCAGCUCCCUCUGCUUGGUGCUCAGCACACGCCCCCACAGCUGAGGGCCUGGCCUUGGGGUACUGCUGGCCAGGGGUAGGAUAGUAUAGGAAGUAGAAGGGGAAGGAGGGUUAGAUAGAGAAUGCUGAAUAGGCAGUAGUUGGGAGAGAGCCUCAAUAUUGGGGGAGGGGAGAGUGUAGGGAAAAGGAUCCACUGGGUGAAUCCUCCCUCUCAGAACCAAUAAAAUAGAAUUGACCUUUUAGA
rnacentral:lncRNA from 1 species